CAUCUUGGCUCCUCCGCUCUAUUUGCAGUUCUUAAAGGGCUAUUGUACUCUCUGGGAUUGUACGAACUUGGACUGGAUUGGAACUGCAACAGAAAAUCUUCCAGGCAAGUGCCAAAGACUUACAUACACAACAGGGACAGCUGAUGCCAGGCGCACACCUAUGGGAGCUCCUUCCACCCUCUGGGAGGCUCCUUGAGCUGACAAGUGUCCUGGAGCCCUGAAGAAACUAUCCUCACAGAAUGACCCAACAACAUGGGGCAGACACCUUUUGCACAUGGGCAGGGCACUGUCCCACUCAAAGGAUCAUUUGGAAGGUGGUAGGCAGGGGCCCCUCAGUGCGAGCGGAAUGGGGUGCCCUUAAUGGGAAGACAGCACAGCUGGCUGGUGAGGCCUGUGGUUUAGCACAACCCCUGAGCCCCCAACCAGGCUCCCUAAAUUUAGACCUGCAGGACGCAGGAGAGAGAUGUCAGUUAAAUAAAAUGAAAUCCAAAUCAGGAGGUAAUGCAAAAUACCAUCACCAUCACAAGCAGGCCACUUACUCAUAUCCUGUGACAUUCUGCCCCUCUCUCCAUGCCUAGAAAAUAAUAAAGCCAGUCCCCUUCCCAGAAAGCACACACGCUACAGAGCCAUUUCUCUGUGAUUGUCACUAGAAAUGCUAUUCUUUCCACUUCUUCGAUCUGCCUGAUUUAGUGACAGCACAAAUGAUAGAAUAAUUCAGUUGUGACAGGAGCUCACAAGGGGACACACUUGUCAAUGGGCCCAUCUGUCUGCUGCCACUCUCCAUCCCUUACAAUGCCCUGCUACUGAGAAUGAUACCAGCUGAAGGAAUGACACUCGCUCAUCCAUGUCCCAAAUGGGGUGAAGGGAGGCCCUGGAGAUGCAUGAACUGGUGCAUUAGUAGAAGAAACAGUCACCAGAAGAGCAAGUGACGACUCUAGAACUUUCAGAUCCCGGGGUUGGCUAUCUUCCUCAACAUCACCAUCACCAUCUUCAACAUCACUAUCAUCAACGUCACUAUCACCAUCAUCCUCUUCAACAUUACCAUCAGCAUCUCCAACAUCAGCAUCUCCAACAUCAGCAUCUCCAACAUCAACAUCACCAUCUUCAACAUCACCACCAUUAACAUCACCAUCAUCCUCUUCAACAUCACCAUCAGCAUAUUAACAUCACCAUCACCAUCAUCAUCAUCAACAUCACCAACAUCAACAUCACCAUCUUCAACAUCACCAUCACCAUCUUCAACAUCACCAUCAUCAUCACCAUCAUCCUCUUCAACAUCACCAUCAGCAUCUCCAACAUCAACAUCACCAUCUUCAACAUCACCAUCAUUAACAUCACCAUCACUGUCUUCAAUAUCACCAUCAGCAUCUUCAACAUCACCAUCACCAUCAUCAUCAUCAACAUCACCAACAUCAACAUCACCAUCUUCAACAUCACCAUCGUCAUCACCAUCACCAUCUUUAACAUCACCAUGACCAUUACCACUACCAUCUUCAACAUCACCAUCACCAUCAUCAUCAUCAACACAACAUCAUCACCAUCAUCAUCUUCAACAUUAUCAUCACCAUCACCACCAUCAUCAACAUCACCAUAAUCACCAUCACUAUCACCGUCUUCAACAUCACCAUCACUAUCACCAUCAUUGACAUUGCUGUCAUCACCAUCACCAUCUUCAACAUCACCAUCACCAUCAUGAUCUACUGGGUGCCCAGGAAGGGGUGAGCAGCCAUCUGGAGGAAUCUACCUUGAUGAUGAGGUUUGGUAUUUUUACAGAACAGGAGAACAUAAUUUCUAGUAGUAGACAUGCCAGGGACAUUGACCAUCAGAGGACUGAGUGUUUUCUUUUCUAAGCUAGCAAAGAGGAAAAAAUUUCCUGAUAUUAGAAUUAUCUCCACCUCUACUCUCCCAGAAGGCUGUACUUGUUACCUUCAAAAAGUAACCCUUGUCUCUCUGAAAUGUUCCCAGAUAAGACAUUAUCUCUUCCUCUUCCUUCAUUUCAUAGCUUCUCACUGUAUUUUCACAUGGAAUGUACACAAUUGUAGGCUGGAUAUUUUCAGGCUAUAACUCUGGCAACAGUCUUAGUUCUUGAAACAGCAGAUUUACAUCAGAUAGACCCAAGCUUGCCCCUCUCUCUCUCUCUGAUUCUUAUUGAAAUAGCUUUUGCUUCCAACAAAAAAAAAAAAAGAGAGAAAAAAAGAACAAAGAGGCCAAAAAUUUCAUGGUCCUUAAAUCCAGUAAUAAUGUUUUAAAAUGUGAAAGAAAAUAAAUCUGGGUAAAAGAAUUUUAAAAUGAAUUUUUUAAUUACUAAAAAAUAAGAGAAAUAACACUUAAAAAUGUUAAACCUCAAGUUUUUUUAAUUUUUACAUUUUCUUUUUUUAUGUUUCUUUUAUUCUUAUUUAAAAUGUAUUAAUCAUCCAAAGCCUAGAUUUAAAAUAUCUUAGCAUAAUCUUAAUGGUGGAAAUAUUUAUCCGGACAUCCUGCCUAUAUUAUUAUUUCUUAAAUUUCAAUACUUUAAAAUCAAAGACAAACUGCUUAAUCCAAUGCAAAGGACCAUACUUUUCACUGUUAUCCCUUCAACCUGUUAUCUCCAGAACACAAACUGUUCCCUUUUUUUUUUUUUUUUUCAAUUAUACUUUAA
rnacentral:lncRNA from 1 species